UACGUAGGGUGCGAGCGUUAAUCGGAAUUACUGGGCGUAAAGCGUGCACAGGCGGCUUUGCAAGUCGGAUGUGAAAGCCCUCGGCUCAACCGGGGAAGUGCACCCGAAACUGCAAAGCUAGAGUCUCGGAGAGGAUCGUGGAAUUCUCGGUGUAGAGGUGAAAUUCGUAGAUAUUCGCAAGAACACCAGUGGCGAAGGCGGCUCACUGGCCCGGUACUGACGCUGAGGUGCGAAAGCGUGGGGAGCAAACAGG
rnacentral:rRNA from 1 species